rnacentral:tRNA from 1 species
GGAGAGGUUGCCGAGAGGUUUAAGGCGCCGCUCUCGAAAAGCGGUUCUCCCGCAAGGAGACGUGGGUUCGAAUCCCACCCUCUCCGCCA